AGCGUACACGGUGGAUGCCCUGGCAGUCAGAGGCGAUGAAGGACGUGCUAAUCUGCGAUAAGCGUCGGUAAGGUGAUAUGAACCGUUAUAACCGGCGAUUUCCGAAUGGGGAAACCCAGUGUGAUUCGUCACACUAUCAUUAACUGAAUCCAUAGGUUAAUGAGGCGAACCGGGGGAACUGAAACAUCUAAGUACCCCGAGGAAAAGAAAUCAACCGAGAUUCCCCCAGUAGCGGCGAGCGAACGGGGAGGAGCCCAGAGCCUGAAUCAGUGUGUGUGUUAGUGGAAGCGUCUGGAAAGGCGCGCGAUACAGGGUGACAGCCCCGUACACAAAAAUGCACAUGCUGUGAGCUCGAUGAGUAGGGCGGGACACGUGGUAUCCUGUCUGAAUAUGGGGGGACCAUCCUCCAAGGCUAAAUACUCCUGACUGACCGAUAGUGAACCAGUACCGUGAGGGAAAGGCGAAAAGAACCCCGGCGAGGGGAGUGAAAAAGAACCUGAAACCGUGUACGUACAAGCAGUGGGAGCACAGAGCAAUCUGUGUGACUGCGUACCUUUUGUAUAAUGGGUCAGCGACUUAUAUUCUGUAGCAAGGUUAACCGAAUAGGGGAGCCGAAGGGAAACCGAGUCUUAACUGGGCGUUAAGUUGCAGGGUAUAGACCCGAAACCCGGUGAUCUAGCCAUGGGCAGGUUGAAGGUUGGGUAACACUAACUGGAGGACCGAACCGACUAAUGUUGAAAAAUUAGCGGAUGACUUGUGGCUGGGGGUGAAAGGCCAAUCAAACCGGGAGAUAGCUGGUUCUCCCCGAAAGCUAUUUAGGUAGCGCCUCGUGAAUUCAUCUCCGGGGGUAGAGCACUGUUUCGGCAAGGGGGUCAUCCCGACUUACCAACCCGAUGCAAACUGCGAAUACCGGAGAAUGUUAUCACGGGAGACACACGGCGGGUGCUAACGUCCGUCGUGAAGAGGGAAACAACCCAGACCGCCAGCUAAGGUCCCAAAGUCAUGGUUAAGUGGGAAACGAUGUGGGAAGGCCCAGACAGCCAGGAUGUUGGCUUAGAAGCAGCCAUCAUUUAAAGAAAGCGUAAUAGCUCACUGGUCGAGUCGGCCUGCGCGGAAGAUGUAACGGGGCUAAACCAUGCACCGAAGCUGCGGCAGCGACACUGUGUGUUGUUGGGUAGGGGAGCGUUCUGUAAGCCUGUGAAGGUGUACUGUGAGGUAUGCUGGAGGUAUCAGAAGUGCGAAUGCUGACAUAAGUAACGAUAAAGCGGGUGAAAAGCCCGCUCGCCGGAAGACCAAGGGUUCCUGUCCAACGUUAAUCGGGGCAGGGUGAGUCGACCCCUAAGGCGAGGCCGAAAGGCGUAGUCGAUGGGAAACAGGUUAAUAUUCCUGUACUUGGUGUUACUGCGAAGGGGGGACGGAGAAGGCUAUGUUGGCCGGGCGACGGUUGUCCCGGUUUAAGCGUGUAGGCUGGUUUUCCAGGCAAAUCCGGAAAAUCAAGGCUGAGGCGUGAUGACGAGGCACUACGGUGCUGAAGCAACAAAUGCCCUGCUUCCAGGAAAAGCCUCUAAGCAUCAGGUAACAUCAAAUCGUACCCCAAACCGACACAGGUGGUCAGGUAGAGAAUACCAAGGCGCUUGAGAGAACUCGGGUGAAGGAACUAGGCAAAAUGGUGCCGUAACUUCGGGAGAAGGCACGCUGAUAUGUAGGUGAAGUCCCUCGCGGAUGGAGCUGAAAUCAGUCGAAGAUACCAGCUGGCUGCAACUGUUUAUUAAAAACACAGCACUGUGCAAACACGAAAGUGGACGUAUACGGUGUGACGCCUGCCCGGUGCCGGAAGGUUAAUUGAUGGGGUCAGCGCAAGCGAAGCUCUUGAUCGAAGCCCCGGUAAACGGCGGCCGUAACUAUAACGGUCCUAAGGUAGCGAAAUUCCUUGUCGGGUAAGUUCCGACCUGCACGAAUGGCGUAAUGAUGGCCAGGCUGUCUCCACCCGAGACUCAGUGAAAUUGAACUCGCUGUGAAGAUGCAGUGUACCCGCGGCAAGACGGAAAGACCCCGUGAACCUUUACUAUAGCUUGACACUGAACAUUGAGCCUUGAUGUGUAGGAUAGGUGGGAGGCUUUGAAGUGUGGACGCCAGUCUGCAUGGAGCCGACCUUGAAAUACCACCCUUUAAUGUUUGAUGUUCUAACGUGGACCCGUGAUCCGGGUUGCGGACAGUGUCUGGUGGGUAGUUUGACUGGGGCGGUCUCCUCCUAAAGAGUAACGGAGGAGCACGAAGGUUGGCUAAUCCUGGUCGGACAUCAGGAGGUUAGUGCAAUGGCAUAAGCCAGCUUGACUGCGAGCGUGACGGCGCGAGCAGGUGCGAAAGCAGGUCAUAGUGAUCCGGUGGUUCUGAAUGGAAGGGCCAUCGCUCAACGGAUAAAAGGUACUCCGGGGAUAACAGGCUGAUACCGCCCAAGAGUUCAUAUCGACGGCGGUGUUUGGCACCUCGAUGUCGGCUCAUCACAUCCUGGGGCUGAAGUAGGUCCCAAGGGUAUGGCUGUUCGCCAUUUAAAGUGGUACGCGAGCUGGGUUUAGAACGUCGUGAGACAGUUCGGUCCCUAUCUGCCGUGGGCGCUGGAGAACUGAGGGGGGCUGCUCCUAGUACGAGAGGACCGGAGUGGACGCAUCACUGGUGUUCGGGUUGUCAUGCCAAUGGCACUGCCCGGUAGCUAAAUGCGGAAGAGAUAAGUGCUGAAAGCAUCUAAGCACGAAACUUGCCCCGAGAUGAGUUCU
rnacentral:rRNA from 1 species